rnacentral:rRNA from 1 species
CUACGGGAUGCUCCAGUGGGGGAUAUUGCACAAUGGGCGAAAGCCUGAUGCAGCAACGCCGCGUGAAGGAAGACGGAUUUCGGUCUGUAAACUUCUAUCAGCAGGGAUGAAAAUGACAGUACCUGACUAAGAAGCCCCGGCUAACUACGUGCCAGCAGCCGCGGUAAUACGUAGGGGGCAAGCGUUAUCCGGAAUUACUGGGUGUAAAGGGUACGUAGGCGGCUGAUCAAGUCAGAUGUGAAGGCCCGGAGCUCAACUCCGGGACUGCAUUUGAAACUGGUCGGCUAGAGUGUAGGAGAGGAAAGUGGAAUUCCUAGUGUAGCGGUGAAAUGCGUAGAUAUUAGGAAGAACACCAGUGGCGAAGGCGGCUUUCUGGACUAUAACUGACGCUGAGGUACGAAAGCGUGGGGAGCAAACAGGAUUAGAUACCCCUGUAGUC